GUAAAGUGGCUGUGGAGAAAGGCUUCAGGUACGGCGACCCAGGGGCGCUCACGAUUCAGGCGAAGCGGAUGCAGAUUGCAGUGAACGAGGAAUUAAUAGAGUCGCCCAUUCAACCUAGCGUCUCUCAGCCAGUGUCCGUGCAGUCGUACUCGACGAUGGAGGCAGUGUUUGAGAAGGCAGGCCUCGUUCAACACCCACGUGGUUCAGAUUCGUCGUCUGCUAGAGAUGAUUACCGCAGGAAUUAUCUUGGAGAUAAACUCAGUGAGAUGUUAGGAUGAGAGAAAUGUCAGGGUGGGUGAGAUUUCAGGCUUCGUGAUUCUGAUAGGCCUUCUAAGGUUUAGCCAAAACGUUUACUAGACAUCGGAAAUGCUAUACAUACUUUUUGCGAAGAAUUUAAAAGACGUUUACCUUUAUCUAUGCAUUGGUCUAUCAAUUUGCCUUAAAUUUGUAGGCCUGCGGUCUCUAUUUGUUUUCUUUAAUCUUUACAUUUGAUGAUCUUCGACCUAUACUUCUGUCUUAAAGUAUGUAGGGCACUGUCAAAUAUUUGUGCCUCGAAAUUUGAAGCUCUGCGGCCUAUCAUUCUCCCUUUUAAAUCGGAGGUCUGCGGCCUAGACUUUUCUCUUGAAAAUGAAAGGGCUGCGGCAUAUACUUUUGCCUUGUAAUUAGAAGAGCUAUAACCUAUACUUUCGCCUUGAAAUUUGACACUACUGCCUGCACUUUUGCCUUAAGAAUGAAAAGGCUAUGGCCUUAACUUUUGCCUCGUGAGUCGAGCUAGGAAAAUGUCAUUUACAGAUUUAUAAGUCUUUCAUUUAUCAAAAAAAUACUACAAGAGUUCAAUACCGACGGAAUAAGUAAAUCUCACGAAUAAGCCAUAUUUGUUGCAAUAAUGACAACAAUCGUAUAAGCGUGUAUGCAUCUUGCAUGCUGUAAAAAGGUUCGAAGACCUCAAACCUAUGUCUGGUUCUGUAAGCGCUACCAGCUUGUACUAAAGGCACUGCAACAGGACCACAAUGUGUUUAGCCCCAGUCGACUAAAUAAAGGUGAUGGCAAAGGAAAAUAGUGACAUACUUAAAAUUGAUGAUUAUAUUAUGCGAAUGCCACCUGCUGGUAAUGAAGUGACCACACCAUGAUGGAGGGGGGAAGUUCUGAGCGGUUUUGAAUACUUUUCUCUAAACCUGCAUCAAACUUAUAUCAUAAUAAUGCCAUAUGCAUACGCCACGAGACAGUCACGGCACCAAGGUCGAGAUUACACUUGAAUUGCAAAACAAACAUGGCCGGAAUAUAACUGCUGUGUUUAUGAGUUGUUUUGCAACGAUAAUUUCAGGUUAUUAAUAUCAGAAUGUUUAAUAUAGGAAUGUGUUAUCACCGAGUCAGUAAUGUUGGUGUGAUUUGGACUACAACUACUACAACGUCUUUCUCUAAACCCUAUCCCGCGUAGAAGCAAAGUUAAAAUGGCCAUAUGCAACCAAUAUACAACUUAAACAACCUGCGAGUAACUGACAGUAUGUUCUGGUUUUAUACUGUUUGCUGCUAAUCAGUAUCUUUGGGUUGGCGAUGAAACCUUUAAAACUUGAAUAAAGUUAGGUUUUUAAUUCAGUUCCAUUUUCUAAGGGACUUCAAAAGCGUUAAAUUACAUAUCUGUAAUGUGAUGGCUAUAUUUGUUCAUGUAAAACAUGCUUCGAACUUUUCUCAGAUUUAUAAAAUUGCAGCCAUGGAAGAAGCAAACGUGCGAUGUUCAACACUUAGAAGUGUAGACCUCUCGAAGUUUCUCCUUAGUGCAAGUUGUGAUUACGAUAUGAGUCUCGUUUUGGUAAAACAUGGCUGUUUAAUGCCUAUGAUUACGGUAUCCAGGAUCAGCCUUUGCAGUCCUCACAGAAUAAUCAGCGACAAUACUUUACUCCUAGUUUGAAUUUUCGUUUAAAAGAGACUUUUUACAAACGAUCAAUUCCAUAACACCGGAAAAUUUCGUCCAUGAUAAGCUUGUGCUGACACUUUUUGCACAGCACAGGCAUUAAAACCAUUUUACCAGAAGGAAACUCAUAUAAUUAGAGUAAAUAAAAUGCACACAAUUAAUAACUAUACGUCGUAGGGCAGUAAGGUCUGUGACAACACUGUCAAAACUUCCAUUUUUCAGUUAACUCAAGCCAUGUUCUUUCUCUCACUCACCUGUGUGAUCAUGUGUGUGUGUGGUACGCAGCCAGUGCAAUACCUUAUAUCUAAUGUCUAUGUGCAGAUGUGUGAUGUAGGUACGCUUCUAAUUUCGCUACACGCAUUUGUCGGAUAGAAUGUGUGCAUGCCAAUAUAAACAUUUGAUAAGCUUUAUAAAGCCAUUUAAGAAAUCCUAAUCGCGCGUCCUAAAUACUGUUUAACCGGAACGAGAUUUUAUAUGCGUUUAUUAAAUACUGUAGUAAAUAGCUUCAGCAAACAACGUACACAUGCUAAGCGUUGAAUCCAGUUUUGUGGGUGGGUCCCUGAAUCUAAAAUUCAAUAAGACCGUAUGUAUUAUAUUCAAACAUGCAAUGUAACACAUCGAAUUGAGAAAAACGCGUUUUACGAUAUAGUGUUCAAACAAACACCCAAAUUAGGAUUGGAUAGAAAAAUAAAUAUGUUGCUAGGGUUUGCUACCAAGAAUUGAGAAGUUAAAUGGUAAAUGGUUAAAUGGUUAUUAAAAUGAAAUAUGCUGAUGUGGAAUGAUAUUUAAAAUAUUCACAUUACAUAGUUAUUUUACUGGGCAUUGAUAUGAAUUAAUUAUCGUUAGACCGUAAUGCCUAAUCGUCGACGUGCUUAUAAACGUUUGUUCUAUUUGUUCUUUUUGUCGUGCACAUUAUAGUUUUGAAACUAGAAUUUGUAUGAUGUGUUGCUUCUUUUGCACUUUUUAGACGCUUUAAACACUAGAUAAAUAAGUGAACUUUUUGCUUAGUCUACAUGAUGUGAUUUUCUCUUGCUGGAUCGGUUAUAUGAAUAAUAACACCGGAUUUAAGUGCAUGACUUGUUUAGCUUCAUCCAGAUGAUUUGUGUGAUAAGUAUCAAUACACUAUUAUUGGCAUUGAAUUGCAAGAUUGACUUUUCAAUUUUAAAUAAGAGCAACCAAAAUUUAAUUAAAUUCUUUUUAAAAAAUCACGAUGGUAGUCAAAUUGUUUCAUUGGCCGAUCCAUGAUGCAGAGACCAAUUUUAUUUUUGGUGUUCGUUUGUUUUGUAUAGUAUAUAUGUGUCACGUUUAAUAACCGUAUUAUGGGUUUCUCUUUACGGACAUUAUUUUAUCGCCAUAGUAAAAUAAACUCAUGAUACUAUACAUCUAAUUAAAUGUAAUUUCUCCUGCUGUUGCAACAAGUGUUUCACUGUUUUGCUGUAUAUUGUUAUUGUUUAUUAUAUGUAAUGUGUUUGCUUUUGCUACGUUUUGAUUUUCGGUCAAAGGGAGGAAUCAUUUUGUAGUAGCUAAAAACUUUAUGAAAGUUUGAAAUUGUAUCAAAAGUUCGUCAUUUAUAGCUUAUAAUAUUUAACAAAUGUAUAGCAUAAUCCUGCAAAACAAAAUGAUUCAGUUGCACUGAUUGAAAUUUUGAUGAAUGUUUUAUGAAUCUAAUUCAUUUUAUUCACUAUAUUUUGUAUCUUUAAUUAUAAUUUAAUGCUUUCUUUUUUUUACAUGCUUAAGUAUUUGUUUGUCGAUUUUUAACAAUUGUCUUUGAAAUAAUCCGUGUACAUUUGCAAAACGACACAUUUACGAAUAAAUAAUGAAUCAUAAUGUUAGCAUAACUCGCACUUUGAUUUUGAUUAUACGAAGUUUAAACCAGCCAUUUUGCUUUAAAAUGAAAGUAUUUUUACCAUCUAUGUUUGGUUUAAUUUUAUUUAAAAUGUAUGAUUAUACUAAAGCCGAGUGUGUUAAUUAUUGGUAGCAACAAAUUAGGUUGUUGUUGGUAGUAUUUGCAACUGUACAAUGUGUGAAUGUUAUCAAAAUAUAAAUAUAUCAAUAUAA